rnacentral:rRNA from 1 species
CGCCUCUAGCAAAUAAGACAUAUAUUAGAGGUACUGCCUGCCCAGUGAUCAUAUUCAACGGCCGCGGUAUCCUGACCGUGCAAAGGUAGCAUAAUCACUUGUCUUUUAAAUAAAGACUAGUAUGAACGGCAAGACGAAAGUUUAACUGUCUCCCCUAUUUAGUCAAUGAACCUGAUCUCCUCGUACAAAAGCGAGGAUAAAACGACAAGACGAGAAGACCCUGUGAAGCUUAAAACACAAUCAACUUUACCAAAUAGCUAUGACCUAAUGUUUUUGGUUGGGGCGACCGCGGAGAAAAAAAUCCCCCGAGAUGAGGUACUAAGAAGACAAAUCUAAGUACUAGCACAUCUAGCACAUUUGACCCAAUUAACUUUGAGCAACGAACCAAGUUACCCCAGGGAUAACAGCGCAAUCCCCUCCAAGAGUCCAUAUCGACAAGGGGGUUUACGACCUCGAUGUUGGAUCAGAGCACCCAAACAGUGUAGCCGCUGUUAAUGGUUUGUUUGUUCAACAAUUAAAACUCU